UACGUAGGGUGCGAGCGUUAAUCGGAAUUACUGGGCGUAAAGCGUGCGCAGGCGGUUUUGUAAGCCAGAUGUGAAAUCCCCGGGCUCAACCUGGGAACUGCAUUUGUGACUGCAUAGCUAGAGUACGGUAGAGGGGGAUGGAAUUCCGCGUGUAGCAGUGAAAUGCGUAGAUAUGCGGAGGAACACCGAUGGCGAAGGCAAUCCCCUGGACCUGUACUGACGCUCAUGCACGAAAAGCGUGGGGAGCAAACAGG
rnacentral:rRNA from 1 species